CAAAAAUGAGGCUCGCAGCUGCUCUUUGCCUAUUCCCCGCUCUCCUUGGCCUGUCCUUCGCUUGGCGAGAUCGUAAAUGUUUUGACAAGCCAGGAAUAAAUGGUAUCAAUGGCUCGCAUUGCAAAGCUGCUCCUAGGGCUGCCUGGUCCUACUACAAGAAAUAUAGAAAAUGCAAAAGCUUUCUUUAUAAUGGCUGCUCGAACAGUGAAAAUGUAUUCUUCAGUAAAAGACAAUGUAAGAGGACGUGUAAGUGGCUGCGAGGCUAAAUUUGAUAAUAUGAAUAAAUCAGCUUGUUUUAUGAAUCAGA